rnacentral:rRNA from 1 species
AGAGUUUGAUCCUGGCUCAGGAUGAACGUUGGCGGUGUGCCUAAUACAUGCAAGUCGAACGGUGACGAUUUUGUAGCAAUACGAAUGAAAUCAUAGUGGCGAACGGGUGAGUAACGCGUUGGUGAUCUGCCUCGAAGUGUGGAAUAACUUCCCGAAAGGGUAGCUAAUACCGCAUAGUCUCUCAAGGUUUAGAAAAUUGAGAGUAAAGGAUUUAUUCGCUUCGAGAGGAGCCUGCGUCCCAUCAGCUAGUUGGUAGGGUAAUAGCCUACCAAGGCAAUGACGGGUAGGGGACCUGAGAGGGUGGCCCCCCACAAUGGAACUGAAACACGGUCCAUACACCUACGGGUGGCAGCAGUAGGGAAUAUUAGAAAUGGGCGAAAGCCUGAUCUAGCAACACCGCGUGUGCGAUGAAGGCCUUCGGGUUGUAAAGCACUUUUUGGAGGGAAUAGGAAGGAAGGUACCUCCAGAAUAAGUCUCGGCUAACUACGUGCCAGCAGCCGCGGUAACACGUAGGAGGCAAACGUUAUCCGGAUUCACUGGGCGUAAAGCGCGUGUAGGUGGUUCUGUAAGUAGGGCGUGAAAGCUCCCGGCUCAACUGGGAGAGGCCGUACUAAACUGCAGAGCUAGAGGAUGGUAGAGGGAGGUGGAAUUCCAGGUGUAGUGGUGAAAUGCGCAGAUACCUGGAGGAACACCAGUGGCGAAGGCGGCCUCCUGGACCAUUCCUGACACUCAGACGCGAAAGCUAGGGUAGCAAACGGAAUGAGAGACUCCGGUAGCCCUAGCCCUAAACGAUGCAGACUAGGGGUCGGCGGUUUAAUCACCGUCGGUGUCCAAAGCUAACGCGAUAAGUCUGCCGCCUGAGGAGUACGGCCGCAAGGCUAAAACUCAAAGGAAUUGACGGGUCCCCGCACAAGCAGCGGAGCGUGUGGUUUAAUUCGAUGCUCCGCGAAGAACCUUACCUGGGUUUGACAUAACAGUGGUAGAGAAGUGAAAACGGAUCGACCCUUCGGGGAGCUGUUACAGGUGUUGCAUGCCUGUCGUCAGCUCGUGUCGUGAGAUGUUCGGUUAAGUCCGCUAACGAGCGCAACCCGCGCUGUGUGUUACAAGUGUCACACAGUACCGCCGGUAUUAAGUCGGAGGAAGGUGCGGAUGACGUCAAGUCAGCAUGACCUUUAUGUCCAGGGCUACACACACGCUACAAUGGUCAGAACAAUAGGUUGCCAAGCCGCAAGGCGGAGCCAAUCCUCCAAAUCUGGCCUCAGUUCAGAUUGCAGGCUGCAACUCGCCUGCAUGAAGUCGGAGUUGCUAGUAACCGCAGGUCAGCAUACUGCGGUGAAUAAAAUCCCGGGGAUUGUACACACCGCCCGUCA